AGCUACUUUGAUCAAGCUCUUGCAUGUGAUAUUUUUAUGAGAAGUAAAAUCGAAACAAGCACGACUCCCGUUCUACUUUAAGAGUAAACAGUGAAGUGAUUAUUUUUCUGCAAAGAGUAGAAGAACUAAGUAGCAUAUGAAAUGUAGACUCUGAAGAUGGGAGAAAAUACCAGCACUGGCUCCAUGAUUCAAUUCAGUUGCGGAUAGCUUUUGUGUGGCCUUCGUCUCCGGCAAUAAAAGUCCGAUGCAUGGGAUCUGAAGUAUGCAUCGUCCUCUGCGCUACAAACUGUGGCAUAGUGAUUAGCUUUUGGUCUCAGUUAUAUUCAAAGCUACCAGUUAGGUUAUUUGGUAGCUAUGCGUAUGCGUAUAGAUUUAUAGUGCUCGGAUGUGCGGUGCUUGGAUGCACUGUGAUGUUGAUGAUUGAGAUGCCGGGCAGACACCUGAUGGAUAGGUGAUGCGGAUAUGUUGUAAUAUUUAUUAUUCAGAUGCAGGCCAGGCGGCCAGACACCUAAUGGCUAGGAUAGCGAUGUGCUGUGGUAUUUAUGAUUCAAAUGUCAUAGACAACUAUCUUAACAUGAUGAUGAUGUGCUUGUUACUA